UACGUAGGCAGCGAGCGUUGUUCGGAAUUACUGGGCGUAAAGAGUGUGUAGGCGGUGUUCCAAGUUCGGUGUGAAAUCUCCCGCUUAACUGGGAGGGUGCGCCGAAAACUGGAAUGCUCGAGCGUGGGAGAGGAAAGCGGAAUUCCUGGUGUAGCGGUGAAAUGCGUAGAUAUCGGGAGGAACAUCAGUGGCGAAGGCGGCCAUCUGGGACAACACUGACGCUGAGGCACGAAAGCGUGGGGAGCAAACAGG
rnacentral:rRNA from 1 species